rnacentral:rRNA from 1 species
GGUUAAGUUAAUAAGGGCGCACGGUGGAUGCCUUGGCACUAGGAGCCGAAGAAGGACGGCACUAACACCGAUAUGCCUCGGGGAGCUGUAAGUGAGCUGUGAUCCGGGGAUUUCCGAAUGGGGAAACCCACUGUUCGUAAUGGAGCAGUAUCCAUGUGUGAAUACAUAGCACAUGAGAAGGCAGACUCAGGGAACUGAAACAUCUAAGUACCUGAAGGAAGAGAAAGCAAAUGCGAUUCCCCAAGUAGCGGCGAGCGAAACGGGAUCAGCCCAAACCAGAAGGCUUGCCUUCUGGGGUUGUAGGACACUCUAUACGGAGUUACAAAGGAACGGAUUAAGCGAAGCGACCUGGAACGGUCCGCAAGAUAGGGUAAUAGCCCCGUAGCUGAAAGUUCGUUCCCUCCAGAGUGGAUCCUGAGUACGGCGGAACACGAGAAAUUCCGUCGGAAUCCGGGAGGACCAUCUCCCAAGGCUAAAUACUCCCUAGUGAC